rnacentral:ncRNA from 1 species
AUAGACUUAGUCCUAACCUUACCGUUAAUUUUUACCAAACAUAUACAUGCAAGUAUCCGCACUCCAGUGUAAAUGCCCCAACCCUCUCGCUCAGACCAGAGGAGCAGGUAUCAGGCGCACCCAUUUGUAGCCCAAGACGCCUUGCUCAGCCACACCCCCACGGGUACUCAGCAGUAAUUAACAUUAAGCAAUAAGUGCAAGCUUGACUUAGUUAUGGUAACUUCAGGGCCGGUAAAUCUUGUGCCAGCCACCGCGGUCAUACAAGAGGCCCAAAUUAACCGUAAUUCGGCGUAAAGAGUGGCACUAUGUUAUCUUCUAACUAAGAUCAAAGUGCAACUAAGCUGUCAUAAGCCUAUGAUGCACCUAAGACCCACCCUUAAAACGAUCUUAGCACUAGCGAUCAAUUAUCACCCACGAAAGCCAGGACACAAACUGGGAUUAGAUACCCCACUAUGCCCGGCCCUAAAUUCUGAUACUUAUCCUACCAAAGUAUCCGCCUGAGAACUACGAGCACAAACGCUUAAAACUCUAAGGACUUGGCGGUGCCCCAAACCCACCUAGAGGAGCCUGUUCUAUAAUCGAUAACCCGCGUUACACCCGACCACCCCUUGCCGCCAAAGCAGCCUACAUACCGCCGUCGUCAGUCCACCUCCUCUGAGAGCCACAAAAGUGGACACAAUAGCUUACUCGCUAGUAAGACAGGUCGAGGUAUAGCCUAUGGGGUGGAAGAAAUGGGCUACAUUUUCUAAGAUAGAACACCCCACGAAAGGAGGGAGUGAAAUCUUCCCCAGAAGGCGGAUUUAGCAGUAAAAAGAAACAACAACGUUCUUUUAAACCAGGCCCUGGGGUACGUACAUACCGCCCGUCACCCUCCUCGCAUAGCCUACAAACCACAAUAACUAAUAAACACCCUACCGCUAAAGAUGAGGUAAGUCGUAACAAGGUAAGUGUACCGGAAGGUGCACUUAGCAC